GACAGAGGAUGCAAGCGUUAUCCGGAAUCAUUGGGCGUAAAGCGCGUGUAGGCGGCCCGAUAAGUCCGCUGUGAAAGUCCAGGGCUCAACCCUGGGAUGCCGGUGGAUACUGUCGGGCUCGAGUCCGGAAGAGGCGAGUGGAAUUCCUGGUGUAGCGGUGAAAUGCGCAGAUAUCAGGAGGAACACCAAUGGCGAAGGCAGCUCGCUGGGACGUGACUGACGCUGAGACGCGAAAGCGUGGGGAGCAAACAGG
rnacentral:rRNA from 1 species